rnacentral:misc_RNA from 1 species
GCGGAGGAAAAGAAACCAACAGGGAUUGCCCUAGUAACGGCGAGUGAAGCGGCAACAGCUCAAAUUUGAAAUCUGGCUCCCUUGGGGGUCCGAGUUGUAAUUUGCAGAGGAUGCCUCGGGUGCGGGUUCCUUCCGAGUUCCCUGGAACGGGACGCCAUAGAGGGUGAGAGCCCCGUCUGGUCGGAAACCCAGCCCGUGUGAGGCUCCCUCGACGAGUCGAGUAGUUUGGGAAUGCUGCUCUAAGGGGAGGUAUACUCCUUCCAAGGCUAAAUACCGGCUAGAGACCGAUAGCGCACAAGUAGAGUGAUCGAAAGAUGAAAAGCACUUUGAAAAGAGAGUCAAACAGCACGUGAAAUUGUUGAAAGGGAAGCGCUUACUACCAGACUUGGGUUCGGCGGUUCAACCGGCGCCACGCGCCGGGGCACUCCGCCGGCCCAGGCCAGCAUCAGCUCUCCGUCGGGGGCAAAGGCGUCGGGAAUGUAGCUCCCCCUCGGGGGAGUGUUAUAGCCCGGCGUGUCAUACCCUUCGGGGGGCUGAGGACCGCGCUUCGCAAGGAUGCUGGCGUAAUGGUAGUCAGUGACCCGUCUUGAAACACGGACCAAGGAGUCAACCUUAUGUGCGAGUGCCCGGGCGUAAAACCCCAGCGCGUAAUGAAAGUGAACGUAGGUGAGAGCUUCGGCGCAUCACCGACCGAUCCUGAUGUCCUCGGACGGAUUUGAGUGAGAGCAUAUAGGGUUGGACCCGAAAGAAGAUGAACUAUGCGUGUGUAGGGUGAAGCCAGAGGAAACUCUGGUGGAGGCUCGCAGCGGUUCUGACGUGCAAAUCGA